rnacentral:rRNA from 1 species
UACGUAGGCGGUGAUUCAAGUCAGAGGUGAAAGCCUGGAGCUCAACUCCAGAACUGCCUUUGAAACUAGAUCGCUAGAAUCAUGGAGAGGUUAGUGGAAUUCCGAGUGUAGAGGUGAAAUUCGUAGAUAUUCGGAAGAACACCAGUGGCGAAGGCGACUAACUGGACAUGUAUUGACGCUGAGGUACGAAAGCGUGGGGAGCAAACAGGAUUAGAUACCCUGGUAGUCCACGCCGUAAACGAUGAUAACUAGCUGUUCGGGGUCUACGAUCCUGAGUGGCGCAGCUAACGCAUUAAGUUAUCCGCCUGGGGAGUACGGUCGCAAGAUUAAA